rnacentral:rRNA from 1 species
UGGGGAAUAUUGCACAAUGGGGGAAACCCUGAUGCAGCGACGCCGCGUGAGCGAAGAAGGUUUUCGAAUCGUAAAGCUCUGUCCUAUGGGAAGAUAAUGACGGUACCAUAGGAGGAAGCCCCGGCUAACUACGUGCCAGCAGCCGCGGUAAUACGUAGGGGGCAAGCGUUGUACGGAAUCACUGGGCGUAAAGGGUUCGCAGGCGGAAAUGCAAGUCAGUUGUGAAAGGCAGAGGCUCAACCUCUGUAAGCAAUUGAAACUGUAUUUCUUGAGAUGUGGAGAGGCAAGUGGAAUUCCUAGUGUAGCGGUGAAAUGCGUAGAUAUUAGGAAGAAUACCGGUGGCGAAGGCGACUUGCUGGACACAAACUGACGCUGAGGAACGAAAGCGUGGGUAGCAAACAGG